GUAGUCCACACAGUAAACGAUGAAUACUCGCUGUUUGCGAUAUACUGCAAGCGGCCAAGCGAAAGCAUUAAGUAUUCCACCUGGGGAGUACGCCGGCAACGGUGAAACUCAAAGGAAUUGACGGGGGCCCGCACAAGCGGAGGAACAUGUGGUUUAAUUCGAUGAUACGCGAGGAACCUUACCCGGGCUCAAACGCACAGUGACUGUCUGUGAAAGCAGAUUUUCCCUUCGGGGACAGUGUGCGAGGUGCUGCAUGGUUGUCGUCAGCUCGUGCCGUGAGGUGUCGGCUUAAGUGCCAUAACGAGCGCAACCCCUAUCGACAGUUGCUAACGAGUCAGGUCGAGGACUCUGUCGAGACUGCCGGCGCAAGCUGUGAGGAAGGCGGGGAUGACGUCAAAUCAGCACGGCCCUUACGUCCGGGGCGACACACGUGUUACAAUGGCGACUACAGCGGGAAGCCACUUGGCGACAAGGAGCGGAACCCGAAAAGUCGUCUCAGUUCGGAUUGGAGUCUGCAACUCGACUCCAUGAAGCUGGAUUCGCUAGUAAUCGCGCAUCAGCCAUGGCGCGGUGAAUACGUUCCCGGGCCUUGUACACACCGCCCGUCACACCACGGAAGUUGGGGGCGCCCGAAGCCACUUAGCUAACCCUUUUGGGAAGCGAGUGUCGAAGGUGAAAUCAAUAACUGGGGUGAAGUCGUAACAAGGUACC
rnacentral:rRNA from 1 species